rnacentral:rRNA from 1 species
UAUACAGGAGAUAGCCGUAGGAACCUGUACUUAACCCUUCAUAGUAUUAUUGGAUGGCAUCAUUUGAUAGUUAAAACUGAGGUGGUAUAGGAUGGGCAUGCGUCUGAUUAGUUAGUUGGCGGGGUAAUGGCCCACCAAGACGAUGAUCAGUAGGGGUUCUGAGAGGAAGAUCCCCCACACUGGCACUGAGAUACGGGCCAGACUCCUACGGGAGGCAGCAGUAGGGAAUAUUGGUCAAUGGAUGCAAGUCUGAACCAGCCAUGCCGCGUGCAGGAAGAAGGCCUUCUGGGUUGUAAACUGCUUUUGCCAGGGGAUAAAAUUUCCAUGCGUGGAAAACUGAAGGUACCUGGUGAAUAAGCCACGGCUAACUACGUG